CGGAGGGUGCGAGCGUUGUCCGGAAUCACGUGGGCGUAAAGGGCGCGUAGGUGGCGGCCCAAGUCCAUGGUGAAAGCUCGAUGCUCAACAUCGAGUCGGCCACGGAUACUGGGUUGCUCGAGCACUGUAGAGGCAGAUGGAAUUCCGGGUGUAGCGGUGGAAUGCGUAGAGAUCCGGAAGAACACCGGUGGCGAAGGCGGUCUGCUGGGCAGUAGCUGACACUGAGGCGCGACAGCGUGGGGAGCAAACAGGAUUAGAUACCCUGGUAGUCCACGCCGUAAACGAUGGGCACUAGAUGCUUGGGGGGGCGACCCCCUGAGUGUCGUCGCUAACGCAGUAAGUGCCCCGCCUGGGGAGUACGGCCGCAAGGCUG
rnacentral:rRNA from 1 species